UACUAAGCCAUGCGAGUCAUUGUAGCAAUACAAGGCAGACGGCUCAGUAACGCGUAGUCAAUCUACCCUAUGGACGGGAAUAACCUCGGGAAACUGAGAAUAAUGCCCGAUAGAACAUUAUACCUGGAACGGUUUAUGUUUCAAAUGAUUUAUCGCCGUAGGAUGGGACUGCGGCCUAUCAGUUUGUUGGUGAGGUAAUGGCCCACCAAGACUAUUACAGGUACGGGCUCUGAGAGGAGUAGCCCGGAGAUGGGUACUGAGACACGGACCCAGGCCCUAUGGGGCGCAGCAGGCGAGAAAACUUUGCAAUGUGCGAAAGCACGACAAGGUUAAUCCGAGUGGUUUCUGCUAAAGAAACCUUUUGCUAGUCCUAGAAACACUAGUGAAUAAGGGGUGGGCAAGUUCUGGUGUCAGCCGCCGCGGUAAAACCAGCACCUCAAGUGGUCAGGAUGAUUAUUGGGCCUAAAGCAUCCGUAGCCCGUUUUGUAAGUUUUCGGUUAAAUCCAUACGCUCAACGUAUGGGCUGCCGGGAAUACUGCAUAACUAGGAAGUGGGAGAGGUAGACGGUACUCGGUAGGAAGGGGUAAAAUCCUUUGAUCUAUUGAUGACCACCUGUGGCGAAGGCGGUCUACCAGAACACGUUCGACGGUGAGGGAUGAAAGCUGGGGGAGCAAACCGGAUUAGAUACCCGGGUAGUCCCAGCUGUAAACUAUGCAAACUCAGUGAUGCAUUGGCUUGUGGCCAAUGCAGUGCUGCAGGGAAGCCGUUAAGUUUGCCGCCUGGGAAGUACGUACGCAAGUAUGAAACUUAAAGGAAUUGGCGGGGGAGCACCACAAGGGGUGAAGCCUGCGGUUCAAUUGAGUC
rnacentral:rRNA from 1 species